UCAGUUAUGGUUCACUAGAUCGUAUACAUUACAUGGAUAACUGUGGUAAUUCUAGAGCUAAUACAUGCAACCAGCCGGCUGCCUUGUGCAGCGGGCGCAGUUAUUAGAACAAAACCAAUCCGGCCUCGGUCGGUUAACUGGUGACUCUGAAUAACCGAAGCGGAGCGCUAAGGUCUCGUACCGGCGCCAGAUCUUUCAAGUGUCUGACUUAUCAGCUUGUUGCGAGGUUAUGUUCCUCGCAUGGCGUUAACGGGUGACGGGGAAUCAGGGUCCGAUUCCGGAGAGGGAGCCUGAGAAAUGGCUACCACAUCCAAGGAAGGCAGCAGGCGCGCAAAUUACCCACUCCCGGCACGGGGAGGUAGUGACGAAAAAUAACGAUGCGAGAGCUUUAUGCUUUUCGUAAUCGGAAUGGGUACACUUUAAAUCCUUUAACGAGGAUCUAUUGGAGGGCAAGUCUGGUGCCAGCAGCCGCGGUAAUUCCAGCUCCAAUAGCGUAUAUUAAAGUUGCUGCGGUUAAAAAGCUCGUAGUUGGAUCCGGGCAGUCGACGCGCGGUCCGCUUUAACGCGGUACUGCGUGCUUCGGCGCCACUAUCCGGCCAUGUCUUCCAUGUUCUUCAUUGAGCGUGGUUGGCGACCGGGACGUUUACUUUGAAAAAAUUAGAGUGCUUAAAGCAGGCAUAUGGUCUUGCAUAAUGGUGCAUGGAAUAAUGGAAUAGGACCUCGGUUCUAUUUUGUUGGUUUUCGGAACUCGAGGUAAUGAUUAAGAGGAACAGACGGGGACAUUCGUAUUGCGGCGUUAGAGGUGAAAUUCUUGGAUCGUCGCAAGACGAACUACUGCGAAAGCAUUUGUCAAGAAUGUUUUCAUUAAUCAAGAACGAAAGUUAGAGGUUCGAAGGCGAUCAGAUACCGCCCUAGUUCUAACCAUAAACGAUGCCAACCAGCGAUCCGUCGGUGUUCAUUCAAUGACUCGACGGGCAGCUUCCGGGAAACCAAAGUGCUUAGGUUCCGGGGGAAGUAUGGUGCAAAGCUGAAA
rnacentral:rRNA from 1 species